AGAGGGGAAGUGAAUGACCAACUGGGUAGGCUGAUGAAUAUUUUCCUGGUAAAUGCAUAACUUUCCCCACAACUGUGAUGCUUUAUCCUUUGACAUUAAGAAUGCUGUUUGCAGAAGUAACAUUCCUUUGAACACUCAGCUUUCUGAAAUGGUGUCCCACCGCAAGGACUGGAGAAGGGUAAACCUCAGGUUCUCCUCCUGCCUUUUGCUAAGUAUAUGUCUUGAUGACAAGCCUUCUGCUGAUGAGCUGUGUUUCUGGACCGAUCAUGGUAGAAGUCAAUUAACGUGUCCCUCACUUGGGGUUUCUCAAGGGAGUCUCACUCUGUCGUCCAGGCUGGAGUGCAGUGGCACAAUCUCGGCUCACUGCAAGCUCUGCCUCCCAGGUUCACGCCAUUCUCCUGCCUCAGUCUCCCAAGUAGCUGCACUGAUGAGGAAACUGAAACAGAAAAUCCAGAGUAAAUUCCACCAGGCCACACAGCAAGGUCUGAUAGAGCCAGGAGAGACUUUAUGAAAUCCAGACUCUCACACUAAUGCUCUAUCAGCUAGACCUCCAUGUGAGUCUCCCCAAUGUAGGUAGGAAGUGCUUUCCCUAAAAUGCUCAUAAAGCAAAUCAGAGCAAUGCUGCAUUCCAUGUGAUUUCUAAUUUGAAAUGCAAACAAUUGCCAAUUUGUUUGACUUGUAUUUAUAAUUAUUUCCUUGUGAAUUACUCAUCACUAAAUGCUUUAUAAAUAUUUUCUCUUUUUUUCCUCAAUGUCUAUGGAAUGAUCACAGCAUAGAAAAUGUUGGCUUUCAAGGAUUUAUUAAUAUCUCCUUUUGAAAUAACAUGUAUUUGUAAGACAGAAUAAAAUCACUUUAAAGAAACAAA
rnacentral:lncRNA from 1 species